UGAGUACGAGAUGCUACGGCAUCGAAGCAGUCUAUGUCAUACUUCCAAGAAAAGCUUGCACUGUCAGAAACAGAUAAUGCCUGUACCAUAACCGACACAGGUGGGUAGGUAGAGUAUACUAAGGGGCGCGAGAUAACUCUCUCUAAGGAACUCGGCAAAAUGACUCCGUAACUUCGGGAGAAGGAGUGCCUUAUUUUUAAGGUUGCAAUAACAAGAUCCAAGCAACUGUUUACCAAAAACACAGGUCUCCGCUAAGUCGUAAGACGAUGUAUGGGGGCUGACGCCUGCCCAGUGCCAGAAGGUUAAAGAAGUCGGUUAGCAUUCGCGAAGCUGGUAACUGAAGCCCUGGUGAACGGCGGCCGUAACUAUAACGGUCCUAAGGUAGCGAAAUUCCUUGUCGGGUAAGUUCCGACCCGCACGAAAGGCGUAAUGAUUUGGAUACUGUCUCGGAGAGGGGCUCGGUGAAAUAGACUUGUCUGUGAAGAUGCGGACUACCUGCACCUGGACAGAAAGACCCUAUGAAGCUUUACUGUAACUUGAAAUUGAAAUUGGACUUUAUUUGCGCAGUAUAGGUGGGAGGCGUUGAAAAUAUUCUUGCGGGAAUAUUGGAGCCAUCAGUGAGAUACCACUCUUGUAAUGUUAGAUUUCUAACUUUAUAUCAUUAUCUGGUUAAAGAACAGUUUCAGGCGGGCAGUUUGACUGGGGCGGUCGCCUCCCAAAUGGUAACGGAGGCGCACAAAGGUUUCCUCUGAACGGGUAGAAAUCGUAUCUAGAGUGUAAAGGCAUAAGGAAGCUUGACUGUGAGACCUACAAGUCGAGCAGGGACGAAAGUCGGUCUUAGUGAUCUGACGGUGCUGAGUGGAAAGGCCGUCACUCAACGGAUAAAAGUUACUCUAAGGAUAACAGGCUGAUCUCCCCCAAGAGUUCACAUCGACGGGGAGGUUUGGCACCUCGAUGUCGGCUCAUCGCAUCCUGGGGCGGUAGUACGUCCCAAGGGUUGGGCUGUUCGCCCAUGAAAGCGGUACGCGAGCUGGGUUCAGAACGUCGUGAGACAGUUCGGUCCAUAUCCGGUGUAGGCGUUAGAAUAUUGAGAGGAGCCUUCUUUAGUACGAGAGGACCGAGAAGGACAUACCUCUGGUGUACCAGUUAUCGUGCCAACGGUAAACGCUGGGUAGCUAUGUAUGGAGUGGAUAACCGCUGAAAGCAUCUAAGUGGGAAGCCCACCUCAAGAUGAG
rnacentral:rRNA from 1 species